AGAGUUUGAUCAUGGCUCAGAUUGAACGCUGGCGGCAUGCCUUACACAUGCAAGUCGAACGGCAGCAUGAUCUAGCUUGCUAGAUUGAUGGCGAGUGGCGAACGGGUGAGUAAUACAUCGGAACGUGCCCUGUAGUGGGGGAUAACUAGUCGAAGGAUUAGCUAAUACCGCAUACGACCUGAGGGUGAAAGUGGGGGACCGCAAGGCCUCAUGCUAUAGGAGCGGCCGAUGUCUGAUUAGCUAGUUGGUGAGGUAAAGGCUCACCAAGGCGACGAUCAGUAGCUGGUCUGAGAGGACGAUCAGCCACGCUGGGACUGAGACACGGCCCAGACUCCUACGGGAGGCAGCAGUGGGGAAUUUUGGACAAUGGGCGAAAGCCUGAUCCAGCAAUGGCCGCGUGUGUGAAGAAGGCCUUCGGGUUGUAAAGCACUUUUGUCCGGAAAGAAAUGGCUCUGGUUAAUACCUGGGGUCGAUGACGGUACCGGAAGAAUAAGGACCGGCUAACUACGUGCCAGCAGCCGCGGUAAUACGUAGGGUCCAAGCGUUAAUCGGAAUUACUGGGCGUAAAGCGUGCGCAGGCGGUUGUGCAAGACCGAUGUGAAAUCCCCGAGCUUAACUUGGAAAUUGCAUUGGUGACUGCACGGCUAGAGUGUGUCAGAGGGGGGUAGAAUUCCACGUGUAGCAGUGAAAUGCGUAGAGAUGUGGAGGAAUACCGAUGGCG
rnacentral:rRNA from 1 species